rnacentral:rRNA from 1 species
AGAGUUUGAUUCUGGCUCAGGACGUUCGCUGGCGGCGUGCUUAACACAUGCAAGUCGAACGGCAUUGCCACGCUGAUGCGAUUUCGGUCAAAUCAUGUGGCAUUCGAGUGGCGGACGGGUGAGUAACGCGUGGGUAACCUGCCUUACACAGGGGGAUAACACCUGGAAACAGGUGCUAAUACCGCAUAAGCGCACAGGGCCGCAUGGCCCGGUGUGAAAAACUCCGGUGGUGUAAGAUGGACCCGCGUCUGAUUAGCUUGUUGGCGGGGUAGGGGCCCACCAAGGCGACGAUCAGUAGCCGGCCUGAGAGGGUGGACGGCCACAUUGGGACUGGGACACGGCCCAAACUCCUACGGGAGGCAGCAGUGGGGGAUAUUGGACAAUGGGGGAAACCCUGAUCCAGCGACGCCGCGUGAGUGAAGAAGUAUUUCGGUAUGUAAAGCUCUGUCAGCAGGGAAGAAAGAAAUGACGGUACCUGACCAAGAAGCCCCGGCUAACUACGUGCCAGCAGCCGCGGUAAUACGUAGGGGGCAAGCGUUAUCCGGAAUUACUGGGUGUAAAGGGAGCGUAGACGGUGAUGCAAGUCUGGAGUGAAAGGCGGGGGCCCAACCCCCGGACUGCUCUGGAAACUGUGUAACUUGAGUGCAGGAGAGGUAAGCGGAAUUCCUAGUGUAGCGGUGAAAUGCGUACAUAUUAGGAGGAACACCCAGUGCCGAAGGCGGCUUAACUGGACUGUAACUGACGUUGAAGCUCGAAAGCGUGGGGAAGCAAAAGGAUUAAUACCCUGGUAAUCCA